CAGAGGCCUAUGCCAGCAUCUGUCCCCCCAGAUUGUACCUUGUAGCCUCUGGGAAAGUAUUUUGUGGUUCUCAAGUUCUCAGACCACCAGAAUAUAAGGACCUCUCUGGGACCUCGGAACUGAGAUUCCUGAAGGGGCUGGGGGUCGAGGGGAGCCUGUCUGCCGUGCGGGUCGGAGCAAGCCUGAGCCCAGAUGCCCUGGGAAAGGCAAUUGACCCAGUUGGGUUCAGGUCACAAGUUCCCACCUGCCUCCUGUGGGUUGUGGUUCCAAGGAAAAGCUGGAACGAGACGGCCUAUGGAAUAGCAAGAUUGAUUGUGUCGUUCUGGCCUUUGAGGGAAGAAGGGG
rnacentral:lncRNA from 1 species